GGAGAUGUAAUGGGCAAAUUACAUAUACCUCCCUUGAGGUUUAACUAAAUUACAGAUACCCUCCUGAGGUUUCAGAAAUUACAUCCUAGCCCCUGAGGUUUGUAUUUUCGUAACUAUUUGCCUCCUGAGGUUUGUAUUUCAUAACAAAUUGCCCCUUAAUUUGUUAUGCAACUAUAGCAUUCAGGAGGAAAUUUGUAAUUUCUAAAACCUCAGGGGGAUAUCUGUAAUUUAGCCAAACCUCAAGGGAUAUAUGUAAUUUACCCUUUUAUUUUUUAAGGGAAUGAAACCAACAUGUCAACAUGUAUGAGUUCAGGUAAAGUAAUAUUUACAAAUAACCGAAAGAUUUAGUUUAGUUAAUCCAAUUGUUGAACAAAUCAAAUUAUACAUGUAGUUUCCGUAAUUUAUUUCUUGAGUAAUUAGGUCGGUUGUUUGAGAAUUGAUUUUUUGAUUUUCUAAGUAAAAUAUCAGAUGAAAAAAAUGUUUGAAAAAGACUUUUGACUUUUUACAAAAAGCAAUACAAAAAUUAUGAUGGAUGAGAUGUAAAUCUUUGAGUUUUUGACAUUUUAACAUUUUUAGUGAUUUUUUUGCCUAUUAAAUCUAUAUUAGUCAAUUGCCAAGCACAUCCUAAUUCUAAUUAUAUUAAUUUUGUCUUUUAAUUCUUCACAUUGUUUUAGUUUAUUGAUGAUAUUUUAAGAAAUUCAAUAAAAAUCAAGAGCAAAAUAAUAAAUUCAAAAGAGAAUAAGUCAUUUCAAAUUAUACGUCAGCUUCGUAAUCAAUAUUCUGAGAAAAAUAAAUGAACUAUUUUUUACUCAUUGAUUUUAAUUUAAUUUCUAAUAAGACUCAAUCGGUUGGAUUAAAUUGAGAUAAUGUAAAAAAGUUAAAAAUAAAACUGAUACAAUUAAAAUUAUAAAACUUAAAUUGACGCAAAAACAAAUUACAAGAACUUUGUUUAUUUAUUUUCAGUCUUGACUUUUUUUGUUUAUUUAUUAUUUUAUAGCAAGUGAUUAAACAACACAGUUUUCUUUUUGUUUUUGGGUUCAAAGUUUUAUGGCUGGAGUUUUCUAGGUUUUGCUAGGUUCACAUGAUAAGAAAAUUCUAUUUUAGAACCCUAAAAAGAAACAAAAGAAGGGGGGAGGGGGAAAUGAACAGGGGGUGGGGUCCUGAUCUUGUUUUGUCUCCAGCACCACAUUCUAAGCAAUAUGGAAUGAGAGAGAGAGAGAGAGAGAGAGCAUUUUGGCAUAUCCUGACAACAGUAACGUAACAUAUAGUUGAUGAGAAAAAUAAAAUGUCUAUAGCAUUUGUCAGAGUAGAUAUUUACCAGAAAUUUUAAUAAAAGAUGUAUAGCAUAUGUGUUUGGUAGAUCGGCUCUUUCUGUUGUCUCACAUGCUCUCAGCAAUGAGGAAAAGAGUAAAGUUAUAUGUGCUUUUGGUACACGGAAUCUGUUGGGAUUUGUGAUUGUACAACCUAGAUUUAGUGCAUAGCUAUAUGUUGACUUUUUAUCGUGUUGUUUUUAGCAAAUCUACAGUGAUUUGAUUUCUUUUAGAGAAUACAAUGAACAUAUUGAUGUUCUUUUGCUUUGAUAACCCUGUUUUGUGGUGUUCUUUUAAGAUUAGCCUGCUUAUUCAUUUUAUUGUGAAGGGAGUCUGUUUUUUUGGGUGUAUUUGUGACACUUGAUCCUCUGUCAUUUUUUCUUUGCAAUGUUUUUGUUGUGUUUUUUUACUUUCUUGAGACACAUUAUCGAAAUACAUAAUUCAGUGAUUUAAAAUUUUAUUGAAAUAAUGUAUUUUUAUUUUAAACUAUACAUUUCAAAAUUAAGUCAUUUUAUUUCAACUUUAAACUUGGAUCGUUAGAUUACCAUAACAAGAUCAUUACAGAUUACAUAGAAAAAAUAA